AUUGAACGCUGGCGGCAUGCCUUACACAUGCAAGUCGAACGGCAGCACGGGAGCAAUCCUGGUGGCGAGUGGCGAACGGGUGAGUAAUAUAUCGGAACGUGCCCAGUCGUGGGGAUAACGUAGCGAAAGCUACGCUAAUACCGCAUACGAUCUAUGGAUGAAAGCGGGGGAUCGCAAGACCUCGCGCGAUUGGAGCGGCCGAUAUCAGAUUAGGUAGUUGGUGAGGUAAAGGCUCACCAAGCCGACGAUCUGUAGCUGGUCUGAGAGGACGACCAGCCACACUGGGACUGAGACACGGCCCAGACUCCUACGGGAGGCAGCAGUGGGGAAUUUUGGACAAUGGGCGCAAGCCUGAUCCAGCAAUGCCGCGUGCAGGAUGAAGGCCUCGGUUGUAACUAGCUUUGUUACGACGUAAACGGUAGAGCUCUAAUACAGUUG
rnacentral:rRNA from 1 species